rnacentral:rRNA from 1 species
CACCAGGUUGAUUCUGCCUGACGUGGACGCUAGUCUCACAGAUUUAGCCAUGCAUGUGUAAGCGAAGCUUAUAGUGGAGCGGUAUACGGCUCAGUAACGGGCGAUUUAUUUGUUCUCCUGGGACGGACAACAUCGGGAAACUGAUGGGAAAACGUCUAAGUUGCAGUUAAUUGACUGUGACGUAAACCUUUGUGUGCAGGAGAGUAAGAUGCCAUCCUAUCAGUUAGUAAGUAGGGUAAGGGCCUACUUAGACGAAGACGGGUACGGGGAAUGAGGGUUUGAUUCCGGAGAGGGAGCCUGAGAGAUGGCUACCAGGACCAAGGUCAGCAGCAGGCGCGAAAAUUAUCGAAGCCCGCCUAGGGGCGAUAGUGAGGAGACGUGUAUAACGAAGUACGUGUAAAGAACGUGCUAAUAACUGGAGGUCAAGUCUGGUGCCAGCAUCCGCGGUAAUUCCAGCUCCAGGGGUGUCUAUGAUGAUUGCUGCGAUUAAAAAGUCCGUAGUCAAUCUGACUGACUGACCUGCAAUGUGAUUGAUUAAAGAACGAGCAGGGUUAGGAAAGCAGAGAAUUAGGAGCGACCGAGGGCUAGAGUAUUGAAUGGCGAGAGGUGAAAUUUGAUGACCCAUUCAGGAGUGACAAAGGCGAAGGCACUAGUCAAGGGCGAAUCCGAUGAUCAAGGACGUAGGCUAGAGUUUCGAAAACGAUUAGAGACCGGAGUAGUUCUAGCAGUAAACUAUGCCGACGCCGUGGUAUCAAUAAUGGUAUUGCGGAAGAGAAAUCAAGUAAGGCUUUGGGGAGAGUACGCGCGCAAGCGAUAAAUUUAAAGGAAAUU